AUGUCACAAGUUUUAUUCAAAUCUUUCUACAGAUCAUCCUAAUCCAUCUUCUUCAUGGAAAUUCGUUGCAGUGAUUCUGUGGAUCAUUUGCCUGGGACUUCUUUCGUCUGUUGGAUACUUAGCCAUUGAGUAAGUCAUUUCAAUCAGAAGGAUGUCCAGGAAAUAUCUCCUCUAACAAGGAAGUAAAUAAAACAGUUUGGAAAUAUCCUGCUUGUUCAAACAACUGGCAUCAGUAUGGAG